GAUGAACGCUGGCGGCGUGCCUAAUACAUGCAAGUCGAGCGAACGGACGAGGAGCUUGCUUCUUUGAUGUUAGCGGCGGACGGGUGAGUAACACGUGGAUAACCUACUUAUAAGUCUGGGAUAACUUCGGGAAACCGGCUCUAACACCGGAUAAUAUUUUGAACCGCAUGGUUCAAUAGUGAAAGACGGUCUUUCUGUCACUUAUAGAUGGAUCUGCGCUGCAUUGGCUAGUUGGUAAGGUAACGGCUUACCAAGGCAACGAUGCAUAGCCGACCUGCGAGGCUGAUCGGCCACACGGGAGCUGAGACGCGGUCCAGGGUCCUACGGGAGGCAGCAGAAGGGAAUCUUCCGCAAUAGGCGGGAGCCUGACGGAGCAACGCCGCGUGAGAGAUGGAGGUCUUCGGAUCGUAAAACUCUGUUAUUAGGGAAGAACAUAUGUGUAAGUAACUGUGCACAUCUUGACGGUAACUAAUCAGAAAGCAACGGCUAACUACGUG
rnacentral:rRNA from 1 species